ACGCACAACAUACACUCUAGCCUCUGUACCUAAGUCUGACGAUAGGGUCCUUUGGCCGUGGCGAUACCACCGGUAUCAGCCGCCAGGGUGCAGGAAGAAAUGACUGCAUCUCCCGUAUUUGGAAAGGUGUACAUGGCCACACAAU
rfam:Kluyvera intermedia strain CAV1151, complete genome.